CACGUAGGGUGCGAGCGUUGUCCGGAAUUAUUGGGCGUAAAGAGCGUGUAGGCGGCCAGGUAGGUCUGCUGUGAAACUCGAGGCUCAACCUCGAGACGUCGGCGGAAACCAUCUGGCUAGAGUCCGGAAGAGGAGUGUGGAAUUCCUGGUGUAGCGGUGAAAUGCGCAGAUAUCAGGAGGAACACCAAUGGCGAAGGCAGCACUCUGGGACGGUACUGACGCUGAGACGCGAAAGCGUGGGGAGCAAACAGG
rnacentral:rRNA from 1 species